rnacentral:rRNA from 1 species
AUUGAACGCUGGCGGCAGGCUUAACACAUGCAAGUCGAGCGAGAGGAGGACGGGUGAGUAAUGUCUUGGAAAAUGCCUGAUGGAGGGGGAUAACUACUGGAAACGGUAGCUAAUACCGCUAACCAUCAGAUGUGUCCAAAUGGGAUUUGCUAGUAGGUGGGGUAAUGGCUCACCUAGGCGACGAUCCCUAGCUGGUCUGAGAGGAUGACCAGCCACACUGGAACUGAGACACGGUCCAGACUCCUACGGGAGGGAGAAGUGGGGAAUAUUGCACAAUGGGCGCAAGCCUGAUGCAGCAAUGCCGCGUGUGUGAAGAAGGCCUUCGGGUUGUAAAGCACUGUCAGCGAGGAGGCGUUACUCGCAGAAGAAGCACCGGCUAACUCCGUGCCAGCAGCCGCGGUAAUAC